AACGAACGCUGGCGGCAGGCCUAACACAUGCAAGUCGAGCGCCCUUUCGGGGGAGCGGCGGACGGGUGAGUAACGCGUGGGAAUAUGCCCUUCUCUACGGAAUAGCCUCGGGAAACUGAGAGUAAUACCGUAUACGCCCUGUGGGGGAAAGAUUUAUCGGGGAAGGAUUAGCCCGCGUUGGAUUAGGUAGUUGGUAGGGUAAUGGCCUACCAAGCCGACGAUCCAUAGCUGGUUUGAGAGGAUGAUCAGCCACACUGGGACUGAGACACGGCCCAGACUCCUACGGGAGGCAGCAGUGGGGAAUCUUAGACAAUGGGGGCAACCCUGAUCUAGCCAUGCCGCGUGAGUGAUGAAGGCCUUAGGGUUGUAAAGCUCUUUCAGCUGGGAAGAUAAUGACGGUACCAGCAGAAGAAGCCCCGGCUAACUCCGUG
rnacentral:rRNA from 1 species